GACGAACGCUGGCGGCGUGCUUAACACAUGCAAGUCGAACGGAAAGGCCCUGCUUUUGUGGGGUGCUCGAGUGGCGAACGGGUGAGUAACACGUGAGUAACCUGCCCUUGACUUUGGGAUAACUUCAGGAAACUGGGGCUAAUACCGGAUAGGAGCUCCUGCUGCAUGGUGGGGGUUGGAAAGUUUCGGCGGUGGGGGAUGGACUCGCGGCUUAUCAGCUUGUUGGUGGGGUAGUGGCUUACCAAGGCUUUGACGGGUAGCCGGCCUGAGAGGGUGGCCGGCCACAUUGGGACUGAGGUACGGCCCAGACUCCUACGGGAGGCAGCAGUGGGGAAUAUUGCACAAUGGGCGGAAGCCUGAUGCAGCAACGCCGCGUGCGGGAUGACGGCCUUCGGGUUGUAAACCGCUUUCGCCUGUGACGAAGCGUGAGUGACGGUAAUGGGUAAAGAAGCACCGGCUAACUACGUG
rnacentral:rRNA from 1 species